rnacentral:lncRNA from 1 species
UGCGUUAAAUGCGAAGCCCUGGAUUACAACUGAUGGCUUCAUCACAACCUCCACUCACUCGUGAAAGGUGUACAGACGAAAUUCUGCAAUGGCUGCGAUUACCUGAGUUGGAUCGCGCGAGCUCCUUCUCAUUGCGGUAAUGAGCUCUUAGUAAGGGGGAGGAGACUUGUAGACAGGGGAGGGAGAGUAAGGAGGUGAAGUGUACACUGGGGAAGGAGAGUAAGGAGGAGAAGUGUAGACAGGAGAAGCUGGAGGUGGAGGGCACUUCUUCCCGAAG